rnacentral:rRNA from 1 species
GACGAGGGAUCCUAGCGUUGUUCGGAAUCAUUGGGCGUAAAGCGGGUGUAGGCGGACUUAUAAGUCAGAUGUGAAAUCCCAGGGCUUAACUCUGGAAGUGCAUUUGAUACUGUAAGCCUUGAAUGUGGUAGAGGUUACUGGAAUUCCUGGUGUAGUGGUGAAAUACGUAGAUAUCAGGAGGAAUACCGGAGGCGAAGGCGGGUAACUGGGCCAACAUUGACGCUGAGAUCCGAAAGCGUGGGGAUCAAACAGG